rnacentral:sRNA from 1 species
CCCUAACCCUGAUAGCAGCGGCAUCCUUUUUAGGCAAACCAAAACAGCUAAAAUUAAACCGUAAACCUUCUGCCUAAAAAGAUAUAACGUCCCGAGGCUUCGGGAGCAGGAAACAGC